UGGGGAAUAUUGGACAAUGGGGGCAACCCUGAUCCAGCAACGCCGCGUGGGGGAUGAAGGUCUUCGGAUUGUAAACCCCUGUUGGGAGGGACGAAGGCUCGAGGGCGAACAGCUCUCGCGCUUGACGGUACCUCAAGAGGAAGCCCCGGCUAACUCUGUGCCAGCAGCCGCGGUAAUACAGAGGGGGCGAGCGUUAUUCGGAAUUAUUGGGCGUAAAGGGCGCGUAGGCGGCUAAGUAAGUCUCGGGUGAAAUCCCUCGGCUCAACCGAGGAACUGCCUUGGAAACUGCUUGGCUUGAGGCCGGGAGAGGAUGGUGGAAUUCCCAGUGUAGCGGUGAAAUGCGUAGAUAUUGGGAGGAACACCGGUGGCGAAGGCGGCCAUCUGGACCGGUCCUGACGCUGAGGCGCGAAAGCGUGGGGAGCAAACAGG
rnacentral:rRNA from 1 species